rnacentral:lncRNA from 1 species
CAGAGAUGUCUUUUCCUUUUGUCUGACUUGGAUGCUUCUGAGAAUGUGAAGAAGCAAGUUACUUCAAUGUCAUCAGCAGAGCCUGAGAAUAGGCUGUCUGAAUCUCACUAUGAGAAGCAGGUGCUUAAAGUUUACCUAAGUUUGAAUUAGGGCAUCAUGAGGGCAUCUCUAAGGAUUGAAGACUCAGGGUUACAAAGGACUAGAAAAGAUGAGCCUUAAAGACUCUGAAACCAAAACACUAUUGAAAGAAUCUUCAAUUUUUUAAAAAAUAAAUCAAUACUUAAAUGCAUAGAAGUGAAAUACCAGGAGGAAGUCUCUUUGUUGUGAGUACUGGUAAAGAUACCAGCCUCGAAUUCAAGGUUUGCACUAGCUGGCAACAGAAGGAUUUUAUUCUUAGCAGUCUUCCCUGUGUUAUCAGUGUACAUAUACAAAUUGUUCCUUCCCUUGGCAUUCAAGUUAAAAUAGUAGGUUUCUCAUUAACCACAUUGCUUAACCUAUUUUUCUUUUUUCUUCCCAAUUUAGAUUGAGGUGUAGCAGUUCAUUUUAAGCCAUCAGGCUAAAUAAAGGAGAAAUAAUUAGUGCUGCCUGAUGGAAGUGAUAAAUGUUAUUCAUUAUUGUAUUUCUUCUGUCUGUAAUAGUGGCCAAUAGCAGAGACCUCUUUCCUUUUGCAUCAAAGAAGAUGCUGCAGAGCUCCUUUAUGCAGUACAGGACGCUGUGCAGGACCCUCUAUGCAAUACCAACACACCAAGCAAUCUUUAUGUUGCCUGUUAGCAGUCCUGAAGGUUACUGCAUGGUUGAAAUGGCUGCAGACAGAAAUCCUCCUGUACAACACAGACUCCAUCUCUCUUAUCAGGCAUCUCAGACAUUUGGAAAAAGAACUUAGACGUGCUGAAACCCAAUGUCAGAGCUCCAGAAAGUCAAGCACCAACUUUAUAGGUGGAAUUCUGCAGUGCUAAAUUAGUCACUUAAGAGAACCUUUGUAAGUGAUGCAUAAGGAUUUACCUCCUAGAUCAGGUAGCCCAAGAACACUAAUAAGACUGGGUCAGGCCCACUAUGAAGUAUUUGUGGGUGUUCCUUUGGUGUCUUUAUCAAGGAUGUUCUACACAUUUGUGACUCCAGAAUUUACUAAAACUUUCCCUUUUCUCAUGGUUUUCAGUAUAGUGGUCUGGUCCAUUUUUUGUCACUCAUUCAAGAAAUGUAAAAUUUUGAUUAUGUACCUCCUUUAUCUUGGUGUCCUGUAGGUAUCAGAUCAUAAAGAUCUUUAUCCUUUAGUAUACAAUUUCUCCUGUGUGCCAGCUGUCAUCCAAGAUCAUAAAACUCAUGGUUGUACAAUGAUGGAAACACAAAGAAAAGCUAACCAUGUUCAUUGUGGAUAAGGCUGGAAAUUGUAAUUUGUUUU